UCAUCACCUACAACCCUUAAACCUAAGUGUAAAUCCUACAAAUGUAGAUAUCACAAUCUCGACAAAUCAACAUAAAACUUAUACUGUAGUACAUAAAAAAAUUUAAUAUGUUACAAAUAUUACUAUAAUUUUAAAUUCAAUACUAUCAAUUGAAAUAUUUUUGGACGUACAAUAUAGAUAUAUUAUAGCCAACAUGAAGUUUUAAUAUAUUUUUUGAUGUUCAAUAUAGGAAUUUGUGGAUAAUUUUUAAUAAUACAUAGGGGAAUUGCCACUAAUACCACUUUCCUAAUACCACUUUUCAACUUUACACUUUUCAAAUUUACCGUUAAAAUUUUAAUGGCUAAAGUACCAUUAUACCCCUCAUUUCAUUAAUUUAACCUAGAUCUAUUCUUCUCCAAAUGUCUGUCACGAGAUGAAACUGAGAUCAAAUUGAGACGAGCUCCAACGAGAUCUCCGGCAAACUCGGCGAUCUCCGGCGAACUUGGCGAUCUCCGGUGAACUCGACGAUCUCCGACGAACUCGACCGGAUUGGGAGAGCGUGGCGGCGAGUGGACAUCCCGCCGUUCCUCCGCCGGCAUUAUGUAGUCGUAGUAAUCCUCCGAUGCUAAAUCGGUCACGUUCGUCACGAAUCGCAUGCCGAGAAGUUCUCCGGCAAAGCUGACAGACUCGACAAGCUCAGACGAACGAGACGAUCUCUCUCCCAACGCCUAAGAAACACUAACAAAGAGAAUUACAAAUGUGUGUUGUCAGCUUUUGGAUUUAAAGGAUGUUGCGGAGAAUAUGUGUGGUGAUAUGCAUAUCUAAGUAUCUCACUUCCUUAAGAUUUUGAAAAUUUACGAGGUUGGUGAGCUGUUUGAAGAGGCAAGAGAGACUCUGAAGAAGAAUGUGGUUUGUGCUAUCAAAGAAUUACGUAUUUAUAACGCUUUAUAAAAGUUGCAGAGUUGGCUUCUUAGUACAUUCUUCUCUCUCAUCUUAUUUAGACAUCUCUUAUACUAAAACAAUUGUAUCUCUCUUUUAGUAGUUACAUAGUUGAAGAUAUUAGUUGGACA